GCUGACUUCCACCAGUGUGACAAAAUUCCCAAGGAAAUCAGCCUAAGAGAAGGAAGAUUUAUUUUGGCUCCUGGUUCUAGAGAUUGAUGGUCAUCUGGCUCCAUUCUCUUGGAGGAUCUAUAGUGAGGAUCUAUCAUCAUGGCAGAAGGGGGUGUGGAGAAAAACUGCUCAUCACCUAGCAACCAGAAAGAGGAAAAAUAGAGCAAGAAGAAAAGCAAGAGCAAGAGAGCCAGAGAGCAGAGUAAAAGAAAAAGAGGCACCUUCAACUGCCAGUCUUAUAUUGAUGCUUCCAGAAGUUCUAGAUGCUCUGUGGAUCUCUAGUACUGUGAGCUAUUUAUGGAUGCCAGAAAUGCACAAGUUUCCAUAUCUGGUCUUGUGAAGAAGGAUGAGAGUUGCCUGCAAUCUUAGGAUUUCUGCCCCUGUGAAAACACCCCAAGAAAUCAGUCAAUAGGAAACUGACUCACCAGUGCCAAUGAUGAUUAGAAGAUGGUUUUCUUCUGCUUAAGAAAGAGAGUUUUCCUCAUUAUUGGGGUAUUUGGUGAGCUUUGGUAAAUUGUAAAAUAACCAUACAUGGGGCGGGGAUAUAGAUCAGUGGCAUAAGUGCCUGCCUGGCAAGCACGAGGUCCUGAGAUUGAUUCCUGGAAUAAAAUAAAAUAAAAUAACCAUACAUUGCCCCCAACCUUGUAUAUGUAAUGUUUUAUAAUAUAACUUUGCUACCU